CAGCCGCCGCGGGAAUACGAAGGGGGCUAGCGUUUCUCGGAAUCACUGGGCGUAAAGGGUGCGUAGGCGGGUCUUUAAGUCAGGGGUGAAAUCCUGGAGCUCAACUCCAGAACUGCCUUUGAUACUGAAGAUCUUGAGUUCGGGAGAGGUGAGUGGAACUGCGAGUGUAGAGGUGAAAUUCGUAGAUAUUCGCAAGAACACCAGUGGCGAAGGCGGCUCACUGGCCCGAUACUGACGCUGAGGCACGAAAGCGUGGGGAGCAAACAGGAUUAGAUACCCCAGUAGUCCCUGUCUCUUAUAC
rnacentral:rRNA from 1 species